UACUAAGCAUCGAUCGUUAUAUAAGAUGUUUUAGAUUCAUUUAGAAACCCAUGUGUGUCAACUUUUGAUUGGCUGGUAGAAAAAAUAUAUAUAUAUUUUUCUCUCUGUCGUCUCUCUCGUCCUCUCUCUUUCUCGUCUCUCUUUUUUUUUGUUAAAUUAAUUGUGAAAGCAGUUGAUUCUGAAUUUUUGUACCACCUCAAAGAAAAAAUAAAAAACAGAGAAUAGUCUCUCUUUCGUCUCUCAGAUUGAUCGAUGGCAAAAGCUUUGGAGAAGAAGCGAAGAAUUGAGAGGUGAAAUAAUCGAAAAAGCUGGGUUGGUUCAGGCUCAAUGUCAAGAACUUUGCUACUACUAGUGAGCGUUCGUUUAGCAAUUAUGCACCUCAAGUUGAUCAGACCAAAGACAAUCUUGUUUCUGACAUAUUGAUUGAUUAUUUUGGUUCUCACUUGUUCUCAAAGUCUGAGAUUGUUAGGUUGGCUAGUCUUUUUGUUUCCGUUGAAAGUAUGAACAAUACUUGAUUGCAGCAAAACAAUACUUGAUGCUUGAAAGUAAGGUAAAAUUUCCUCAAAAUGUUUGAGAUUAGUCAUUUUUUCCUUGAGCAACAGGUCAAGGCCUUUCCAAGUAUAAAACAUAUGCAAGAUCACCCUACUGAAACAGCUAAGAACUUUAUGAUUGAUGGGCAUUGCGGUUCUGUUUCUUUCCUCUGUUUUUGGUUGUGUUUGAGACUUCAAAUCUACAUGAUGUGAAUAGGCUCAAUUCUCCCAAGUGAGGCCAGUUGCAAUGCCACCAUCUGUUGGUUCCUGCAUGCCAAUGUAUCCUCGGGUGGUCCUGGUAUUGGACAACAAAUGUUCUAUGGUCAGGCCCCUCUUAACAUGAUUCCUCCCCAAGUAAUUCAUCAUGUUUGCUCUACUUUAAGUAGCUGUGUGCAAUUUUGCACAAAGAUAUUUGGUUUAUGGGACUUUAAAGUAAUGUAGUGGUCACAGCUCACCAUAUAUGUAGCUACUUUUCCAUAAACUAAUGAAGAUCUUUGAUGCUGCGGAAAA